GUGUAGCGACUGGUUAGGUGGCAACUUUCCUGCAUUUGUUUUGAUUAGUUCGUGAUUUGGUGGGAGAAUGACGACUAUAUCAAACUAUUGAGGGAAUAUCCUUUUGGGUGCCUGGCCUCGCAGCUACGGAGAACUACAGUUCGUGCAGUGUCACCGCUGUUUUGUUUAUAGACAAUCUGAUACUGCUGUAAUACAAUGUGUUGAUACAUACUGCUGUACAUCUUUGCCUACACACACUUUCUAAGUGCAUAUUUUGCCCAUAUAAUAAGAUCUCGAAUUAUAUUUCUUUGUUGAAACCUCAAGCAAUUCGUGGUUUUCUUUCUUUGGGGUUUUCUUUAUUUUGUGUAAUUUUUCAUGUCUAAAUUGUCACUUUUGGUAUAAUAUCUGUGAAUUUAUUUAUUUCAUAUAUUGUUUAUUCAUUUGAAGUGUUGAUUUAUGUAUACAACGUAAUAACUGUUGAUUUUUAAGUUUAUUUUUCAAGAUUUGUUUAAUGGCUUUUUUUGGAUUGGAUUGGGCCCAUUAAGGUUGAACGUCAAGACCUUUAGGUGGAUGAGUAUUUGUCAUCCACCUGUUAGCUUGUAUAACCUUUUUUUUUGUAUUAAUCUUUUUCUUUUCUGUGUGUGUGUGUGUGUGUGUGUGGUGUGGAGUGUGUGUUUGUUUGUUUUUUUUAGGAGCUGCGGCCUUUUUGGCUUAGGAAAUUGAUCGUUUCCCUCCUAUCUUUGGUGGUGGUGUCUACAACGUGUGCUGUGACCAAUUAUUUCACUGGGGCUCUUUGUGCUGUGAGAGUGAGUGUGCAGUGUGAGGGGAACGUACACAUCUCUCGUGAGGCCGCAGCUUCCUUUUUGUGAACAUUGCGUUUGUGGUUUGUCAUUUGUCUGUGCAUGGUUUUUAUUAUAAUAAACUUUUGGUAAUUUUGUAUAAAUACCUGUGUCUCCAUGUUGUUCUGUCUUUAGUGGGGAACCUGUGUGCGGGUAUAUUAUUCCCUGGGUGAAAUUCCCAGGGUGGCGUAGUCUAAACUAAAUUCUAUAACAUCUAUUGUGCCCUUUGUCCCUGUGGUUGCCACACCUACUUAUAAUUUUACUGGAGUAAUAUUUUAUUGGGGUAUCUGUACUUUUACUCAAGUACUUGAUUUGUGGGACACAGCCUGAUUAUUAUAGUGUUUUUUUGCGUAUAACUGUUCAGAAGUAGUUAUUUCAUAGUUAUUUUUCUUGAACCUUAACUAGUAGAUAAUUAAUAGUAGUUAUUCAGGAGGUAUCACAGAACAUAUUAGUUACUGAUUAGCUAACUGUUACUUAACACAAUCAUAAAAUUAUAUUACAUACUGAUUAGUUAACACAUCUUUCUUAGUAGUUAACAGUAGUGAGUUAAGUGUUAAUGAAUAAUUACCUGUUAGUUCUUCAGUAAUUCCUAAUUAGUUAUGUAGUAAGUAAGAAACAGUAUUCUAAAGUGUUACCAAAAAAAUAUAUAAAAAUUAUUUGUGUUUGGGAAGCUGUGAGCACGGAGACUGUAGUGUACACCGUAAGUUUAAAAGCGUUUAGCUUAAAUUAUUAAUAUGAAUAAACAAUGCUCAUAAACGGCUGCUGAGGUCGUAUUCUCAAGUGAAGCGAGUUGAAGUUUGGACCCGGAAACAGCGCUUCUUACGUCAUCACUUAACAACCAAAUUACUCUUGGAAACAUGCAGUGUUACAUGAGAUUGGAUGCACUUUAUGAACGGACACAAACAGGCAAACAUUAUUCUCUAAUGUUUAACCCAGAAGAGUUGAAUAGCAUUUGAUUCUACAGUAGAACACGCACUGGCAAUCAAGCUAUGAAUAAUGAGGCUUUGAUAAAUAGAUUGAGGAACAUGCUCAAAACUAUUCUUUAUUCGCAGAUAUAUUUCUCUUUUAAUUACAACAGUUUAGCUCCAUUCAGCGCACAGUGAUUGAGAUUUCCUGCUGGGAGUAUAGCUUUUGAGAAUAAGUAUAGGCUCUGCAGUAAAGUAAUGGGAGUUACCAGAUCAGGGUGUUUUUACACCAUGAUACCUGAUUGAAUGACGUAAUAGUGACGUUAGGUUUAGGUGUGGGGUUGGGGUAAGGGGAUCAUUUAGAUUUAGAAACACCCAGCAGUUUGAAAACAACCACAAGGGAUAAACGCCCACUUAUGCUCUGCAUCUCAUGAAACAAAAAAUAAAGUAAAAAGAAAAAGUAAUUAUUAACUUAACAUUUUCACUUGAAAAUAUUUACCAAAAAUAAUUAAAGCUGAUCUUUGAAACUUGCAUUUCUUAAAGGGCAACCCACU
ensembl:lncRNA